UACGUGGGGUGCAAGCGUUGUCCGGAAUCAUUGGGCGUAAAGAGCGUGUAGGCGGCUCGGUAAGUCUGUUGUGAAAGUCCAGGGCUCAACCCUGGAAGGCCGGUGGAAACUGUCGGGCUAGAGUCCGGAAGAGGCGAGUGGAAUUCCCGGUGUAGCGGUGAAAUGCGCAGAUAUCGGGAGGAACACCAAUGGCGAAGGCAGCUCGCUGGGACGGUACUGACGCUGAGACGCGAAAGCGUGGGGAGCAAACAGG
rnacentral:rRNA from 1 species